GAACUACUCCCUUCGUCCGAAAAUACUUGUUCUACAAAUGAAUAAAAUAGAUGUAUCUAUAACUAAAAUAAGUCUAGAUACAACCAUUUUAAGGAUAAGUAUUUUCGGACGAAGGAAGUACAAG
rfam:Triticum urartu cultivar G1812 contig899633, whole genome shotgun sequence.